AGAGUUUGAUCCUGGCUCAGAUUGAACGCUGGCGGCGUGCUUAACACAUGCAAGUCGAACGCGAAAGGGACUUCGGUCCUGAGUAAAGUGGCGCACGGGUGAGUAACGCGUGGAUAAUCUGCCCUUAUGAUCGGGAUAACAGUUGGAAACGGCUGCUAAUACCGGAUACGCUCAAAAUGAACUUUUUGAGGAAAGAUGGCCUCUGCUUGCAUGCUAUCACGUAAGGAUGAGUCCGCGUCCCAUUAGCUUGUUGGCGGGGUAACGGCCCACCAAGGCAUCGAUGGGUAGCCGAUUUGAGAGGAUGAUCGGCCACACUGGAACUGAAACACGGUCCAGACUCCUACGGGAGGCAGCAGUGGGGAAUAUUGCGCAAUGGGCGAAAGCCUGACGCAGCGACGCCGCGUGAGGGAUGAAGGUUUUCGGAUCGUAAACCUCUGUCAGAAGGGAAGAAACUACGUUGUGCUAAUCAGCAGCGUACUGACGGUACCUUCAAAGGAAGCACCGGCUAACUCCGUGCCAGCAGCCGCGGUAA
rnacentral:rRNA from 1 species